rnacentral:rRNA from 1 species
CGGUGACGGAGGGCUUGCCCUUCUGAUCAGUGGCGAACGGGUGAGUAACACGUGAGUAACCUGCCCUUCACUCUGGGAUAACGCUGGGAAACCGGUGCUAAUACUGGAUACGACCUACUCGGGCAUCCGAUGUGGGUGGAAAGAUUUAUUGGUGGAGGAUGGACUCGCGGCCUAUCAGCUUGUUGGUGAGGUAAUGGCUCACCAAGGCGACGACGGGUAGCCGGCCUGAGAGGGCGAUCGGCCACACUGGGACUGAGACACGGCCCAGACUCCUACGGGAGGCAGCAGUGGGGAAUAUUGCACAAUGGGCGAAAGCCUGAUGCAGCGACGCCACGUGAGGGAUGAAGGCCUUCGGGUUGUAAACCUCUUUCAGCACGGAAGAGGCAGCCGGGUUUUCUUGGUCGUGACGGUACCUGCAGAAGAAGCACCGGCUAACUACGUGCCAGCAGCCGCGGUAAUACGUAGGGUGCAAGCGCUGUCCGGAAUUAUUGGGCGUAAAGAGCUUGUAGGCGGUUUGUCGCGUCUGCUGUGAAAUUUCGGGGCUCAACCCCGAACUUGCAGUGGGUACGGGCAGACUAGAGUGUGGUAGGGGAGACUGGAAUUCCUGGUGUAGCGGUGAAAUGCGCAGAUAUCAGGAGGAACACCGAUGGCGAAGGCAGGUCUCUGGGCCACUACUGACGCUGAUAAGCGAAAGCAUGGGGAGCG